GAAGCGGAGAGGCGGCGGCGCCUCCUGCCCUCGCAGCGCAGCCCGGCCGGCCCGGCAGCCCCACAGCGCGAGCUGGGCGGUCGCGGCGGCGGGGGCUUUAUCGCCGCCCGCCCCGCACCCGCCCCUUCCUGCCGCCCCCGCCCCCGGCCCGCCCCGCCCCGCCUUCCCGCCGCCUCCUUUGUGUGCCAGCGGGCCGCAGCGUCCCCGCGCCCGCACGCCGGGACGCCCCCACUCCGGCCGCGGCCGCGCGGAGGCCGCCCCCCAGGGCUCCACGUCGCGGGGCUGCGCCCGGAACGCGCCGGAGGCCGCGCCGAGCCCGAGGUGGGCCGGUCGCCGGAGGCAGAUGGCAGACAAGGGAAUCCGGAAAUCUGGAGUCGUGGCUGCGGUGACAGCGCGAGGUACCUGCAGAGUCCUGGGAAUCCGGCCCUUCCCAAUCGCUAACUAAAACUGCUGGGACCUUGUGCGCGACAGAGGCGCAGACCCCAGAGGCCCGGAGACGUAGCACCCUCAGGCUCCCAGCUGCGUUACCUGGCUUGCAGUCCUCCUUUGCGCCAGCUCGGGUUUGUGGGGACACAACUCUAAUGACAUAAGUCCUGUUGCCCUCGGUGCAGAACCCGUGCCAGCAGGCCCACGGCCCCAACUGUGAGAAGGAAAUGUGGCAAAUCUAAGACACGGCCGUGAAAUGAGGUUGCGUCUACUGAUGAGAGCAACUUGGAUGAUCUACACUUGGUGUGUGGGCGGCCAUGCUAGACGGGGUGUGCCUGUCGGGGUGAAGGAGUCACUUUCAAAAGUGUGAAAUCUGGGCCAGCCUAAGGGUAUUCACAGCCUCUCUUAUAGAGAAAUAUGCUAGGGAAGGUUGGCUCUUAAAAAGGAAACACAGUCCACCGAAAGAAAACCUGUUUCAUUAUUUUACAGUCAUGCCUAAUAUUCAUAUUUAAUUACAGGGCAGGAUAUAAAUGCUUUUUCCUUGUCCUCUCUGCCUAAAAUGCUCCCCCUACCCCCAUGAUCUUCUCAUCACUGCCUCCUUAUACUUCAGGGCACCACUCAAGUGUCACCUUCUUUCUCAAGGAAACCUUCCCUGACCGCUUGACUUAAAGUCACUCCCUCUCUUCUCCAAUUUAUUAACUUUCUUCAUAGAACUCAUCAUCAUUUGGGGUUUUUUUUUUAACAUUUUUUUUUUCUUGGCUACUUGUCUUCUACUCUUCCUCAUUAGAAAAUAUGCUUCCAGAAAGCAGGGAAGAGAAACCAGUUCACAUGGUUUUCAACUCACCCCGUCCCUAGUGCCUCGAGCCAACACUACCCAUAUAGUAGUUGCUCAAUAAAUGUUUGUUGACUGGUGGGUGAACAGGGCCAAGUGACUACAGACAUGGUAAGUACUGCCCGGGGAACAGUGUUAGGGCUUAACUCUAGCCUGGGAGGGCCAGCCGGACCUGGGAAGAAUGACAUGAAGCCAGGAAGCUAGAGAAGAAAAACCCGGAGGUGGGAAUGAGCUUGGUGUAUUUGAGAAACUGGGGACCAGCCUCUUCCAGAUGGAAGGGAGUCAUUCAGGAGCCUAGCGAAUGGAGAAGUAAGUUAGAACCAAGAAGCGUGGGUAGAGCCAACUUCUGAAAGCCUGCUUGAUUCCCUACAUCCAUUUCUGUCUCAAUCACUUUUUUAACUGAAAAUUCUUAUGGAGAUAAUUGUAGGUCCUCGUGCAGCUGUUAGAAAUAAUACAGAGAGGUCCCUUGUAUACUUUAUCCCGUUUUCCCCAAUAGGAACCUUUUGCAAAUCUAUCGUCUAGUAUCACAAUCUGAAGGUUCACACUGAUAGGUUGACUUAGAUCUGAAACACUUCGGUUCCAUUUUUGCCAUUGAAAAUGUUUAGUAAAGUUACUCUUCAGUUUUUGAAAGAAUGCACAGAGACUCUUUUGAAGGGUUUCGGUCUCUGGUUUUAGCGGAGCCAACAUUUUUGAGGGAGGGGAAAUGAUUUAUUUUUAAUCAUUAGGGUCCGAAUUCUUCAGCUAUAAAAGACCGAAAUCUUGGGGACUUACCUCUUUUGUUUACAUUUUAAUGACUGCCACUCACUUCCCUGUUCUACCCAGUACCGUCAAAGGAACAUUUUGAGCAAUAGCGUACAUGACUUGUCAGUUCUGAAAUCAGACAGGAUGCGGUGUUAACUAAUCUGCUAAAGUAAGCCCAACCACGAAUGUGCCUUUCUCUUUUCCUUGGACAUUGGAUGGGACUGCCAAUGAGUGUCUCCCAAAGGGAAGCGAUUCAAGACAAAGACCCAUUCUUCCAGUAGGAUAUGUGGGGAAUACCAACUAUGCUUGUUACAGAAUGUGCAUGGCUGGUGUUGGCUGGCCCUCCUCAUGCCAGCAAGAGGAUACAGAAGCAACCUCCUAAGCUGUCCAUGACAUUCAAGCGACGAGGCAAUUUGACAUCCGUCACUCGGGAGCUGCCCCAAAGAAGCCGUGUUCCUUCCUCGGGCAGUUGGUGCCCAUGAACGACCGUUCUUCUCACAUGGGAUCCUCUUUGAAAUGUAUCUCUCACAGAUGUGUGCUCUCAGCGUGCAUUUUCCUCCCGUCUCUUCAUCGGUCUUAUUUGAGAAACCCAAAUUGUUCAAUGCUCCUACCUUCCUCUUCCUUUGUGAUUCACACUCACAGCAGAAUUUCAUUUUGUCCUUCAGUUGUGUGGCUUGCCUUAAUCCUCAGAUAGAGCUUCAAAUUGUUUAUUCCUUAAAAAAAAUUUUCAAAAGUGACCUGGAAUUUAGCCAGCUGCAGCCAGUCUCUGAGUUUGGCUUUGUGUCCAUAAGCUGCAGUUGAGAGAAACGCACGAAAUGCCCAAACAGAAUAAAACAAAUGAUCUAUUUA